rnacentral:rRNA from 1 species
GCCCGGAGAUGGUACUGAGACACGGACCCAGGCCCUAUGGGGCGCAGCAGGCGAGAAACCUUUGCAAUGUGCGAAAGCACGACAAGGUUAAUCCGAGUGUCUCCUGCUAAAGGAGUCUUUUGUCAGUUGUAGAAUCACUGGUGAAUAAGGGGUGGGCAAGUUCUGGUGUCAGCCGCCGCGGUAAAACCAGCACCUCGAGUGGUCAGGAGGUUUAUUGGGCCUAAAGCAUCCGUAGCCGGUUGCAUAAGUUUUCGGUUAAAUCUAUGCGCUUAACGUAUAGGCCGCCGAAAAUACUGUGCAGCUAGGGAGUGGGAGAGGUACACGGUACUCGAUAGGAAGGGGUAAAAUCCUUUGAUCUAUUGAAGACCACCUGUGGCGAAGGCGGUGUACCAGAACACGUUCGACGGUGAGGGAUGAAAGCUGGGGGAGCAAACCGGAUUAGAUACCCGGGUAGUCCCAGCUGUAAACGAUGCAGACUCGGUGAUGCAUUGGCUUGUGGCCAAUGCAGUGCCGCAGGGAAGCCGUUAAGUCUGCCGCCUGGGAAGUACGUACGCAAGUAUGAAACUUAAAGGAAUUGGCGGGGGAGCACCACAAGGGGUGAAGCCUGCGGUUCAAUUGGAGUCAACGCCAA